GACCUAUUUUUAUACCUUAAAGAAAUGCCAUUAAUUAAUGUGUGUUAGAUGAUUAAAUAUGUUAGUGGAGGAUAUAAUGAUUCAACACCUAGUGCAACAUUCCACUACAUUUAUUCCCUCCCCCUCUUAUGAUGAAAGAAUAAAGGAUGUCUAGAAUAGAAUCUAGAGUAAUCAUAAAAUGAAAGUAGUCUAAACAAUAUCUUGGUUUAACUUGUCAAAAUAAACCAGAAACUUUGAUUGACCAAAACUAAGUCAUAACGAACUCGGAUUGAGUUGAACCAAAAAGAGAAAGUGUUCAUCUUGACGUCAUCUAUCUACCCUCAAAAUUUCACAGCGAUCGGAUUAGAUUUGACCACCAAAACGUUGUUUGGAGUAAGCUGGCCUCUAUUUGGACGAAAAUUCAUAUAUAGCAUUAUUUAAUACUUCCUUUGAUUUGAACAACUCAUCACCCACUUCCUCUAAUGUGUGCACUCAUCACCACAAGUGUUGCCCACAUCCCACAUCUAGAAUGCACCACCUUAGUGAUGAUGAAACCCAUGUGCCUUGGAAAUAAGGCUAAGAUGCACCAAUUCCCAUCCAUUGGAUCAAAAUGUGUCUACUUGAUCCUAACCAUUCAUUCUCUUAUAAAUAGAACCAAGGUGGAAGAUGCAAUGCCCAUUAAGCUUCACUCACACACACACCUAAGGCCAAGAGAGAAAAUUGUGGGAUUUGUGUAGUCUUGUGUUGUUCAAGGCUUGAAGUGUAUGCUAGGAAGUAUUUUGGAAAAGAAGUUUAAAGGAACUACACGAAGAAGAGUGUUAAUAGAUAAAGACCAGAGCUCAAGAGGUUUUAUAGCUAAUGACGCAUAGUUUAUAUUUUGUUUGUAGUCUUCUGUGUUUAUAGUAUUUUAUGUUGACAAGAUUGCUAAUGAUUUAUAUGUAUUCUUUUGUGUCAUU